rnacentral:lncRNA from 1 species
ACAACAGAGAACACUCACUCCAUGUUCAGCAUGAAGGAGAACUGCAUGAUCCAGGGAGGUUUAGGGGACCAAGAAGGUGGAUAGGCUCUAACUGGGGCAGGCAGCAGGUGCGGCUGCAGAAAAGCGAAGGACUCCGAGCCCCGUGGUGCCUGCCUAAGAGUGAGCCAAACUCAGAAAGCCUGAGGCCCUUCUAGAUGAAAGGUGACUGAUGCAAAGCUUGAUCCCAGAUUGGAUCUGGGUUAUGGGAAGACAGCUCACCAGGGACUAUUUAAGGGCAAUUGGCGAAAUGUAGACAUGGAAGAUGGACCAGACAACAGCAUGAGAUGAAUGUUAAAUUUCCUGAUUUUGAUCCUUGUUCUGUGGCUAUGUAAGAGAAUGUCCUUACUUUUAGAAAAUACACAUGGGGCAUUUUUGGGAAGUUUUUAAGGGCAUGGUGUCUGUAACUUACUCUCAAGCAGUUCAGGAAAAUAAUAUAUAAAUUAGAUAUGAAGAGAAGUGAGGGGAGGAGAAUAACACAAAUGGGGGCAAAAUAUUAACAUUGGUGCAUCUGGAUAAGAUGAUCUUUGGACAGAGUUCUUUGAACUAUUCUUGAAACAUCUGCAUAAAAUUUGAAGUUAUAUCAAAUUUGAAACUUACAAAGAAAAGGCUUAGGGUUGGAUUCUGCUUGGGCUGGAACAUAAACUCAAGGUUCCGGGGCCCUGUGGUGGCUUGUGCACACUGCAGUCUAUCUGCAGGCUCACUUUGGCGUAGGACGGCACCUGGACCCACUGGAUUCCGGCUCCCAUGCUCCCCUCUGGAAGUACAAGUCCUGGGCCAGGCGCAUGUGAACCUCCAUGGUGAAUGCAGCAGCUUCCUCUGCAGAUUCCUAGCGAGGUAGUGGCUGGAUGCCGCGAGAGACAGAUGAACCUCCUGUUUGUCCUCAAGGCGGGUAGUUUCCGUGUAGGAUCUCGCUUGUCCUUACAGGUGCCAUCUGAUCCUUGCUCACAUCCUCAGCUGGCGUUCCUUCCUGACUGCUGGAGUGGCUGACCUGAAGAGACUUCCCACUCAACACUGCAGGCAGAGGGGACAGCCCGGAGAGACUUGCCCGCCAGCUCUCACUUUGCAUAUAAUCUCACUCCUAAAUAAAUCCCUCAGCUCAGGGGUCCCCAAACUUUCUCUGCGUGUGGUGCCCUUAAUUUCUCAGUACUCUCUUCUUAGUGCACCUGGGCCAAAAGAAAUACCAAACAGUUCCAUUAAUUAAGUGGUUAGAUCCAAAUGACGUAGGUAUGUUUGUAAUAGCUGUUUGAAAAGAAAAUAUACAUACAUUGAAAGAAAAAAUAAUAUUUGAUUUUCCUCUUAAAUAAGCAGUGCCGAUGGGAUAUGUGCCUGUUGGACAAGGCCCAACUUCUCCAACCUUGGAAUCAAGUUGGACACUGUUGCCCUCAUUUUCUGUCCCACACCAUUUUACCUCAAAGCAAUCAUUGAAAACCCAGCUUUGGAAAGAUAUGACAACUGUGAAAGGAAUAUACUGCAAUCUGAUGUUCGAACUGUGAACUUCCUCAAUCGAGUAGUUCCCAAGGUGUCCAAGAAGGGUCAGCUAUCAAUGUAUAUCCUCUGAAAACUGGAAAUAUUCCAUGGCACCCCUGUGAACUCACUGUGGCCCCUACAGUUUGAGAACCAUAGCCUUGUCUCAUAUUGCUUCUGAUACACAGAGUGCCAUGCUGAUUUGGGUGUAUUCUUUUCCUGUCUUUGUACUCUCCACAUAUAUUAUAAAAUGUGGACCAGAAGAAUUCUAUAUUUCCCUUUUUUUAAUUUGACAAUGUUAUGAGUGUAUUCCCAUGUCAAUAAAAAUUCUUUUAAAAAUUAUUUAUAUCUGAAUCAUAUACCAAAUUUACCAAUAUCGAAUUUAAUCUUCCUCCAGUCCUUGAAUUUUCCAGCUGUAUUUCAUUUUGCUAUUAUCUGUCAAUAUUCCUUAAAAUGGAUUUCUAGAAGCAGUAUUACCAAAUGAACUUCUUAAACAAUCUUGAUAACUAUUGUUAAAUUGCUUUUCAGAAAUAAUGCACUAAUUUAUAUUCCAAUAAAAAAUACAUGGCAGUGGCUAUUUUGCCACAUUCUUAACUGCACUGGGUAUUUCCAUUAAUAAAAUAAAAUCUCCUCA